GUGACAGGGAGUCUGGCCAAUCACAACGCUUCCCGAGAAGCUCUUCCGGUGGCGUUUCCUGUCAGUGUUUGUAAACUGAGAAAAAAUUGGAAGUGCGACAAGAAAUAAUAACCUACAAAACUCUAAAAAUCAAAAGGCUUUGGCCCCUGAUGAUUUGGGUGGGUGUGGUCUCUUCUGUUACCCCUCAUCCUAAGUGAAGCCCCCUCUGUUCCCCCCAAACACACACGCAUUCAAACCACGGCGAUGACACACCAUACAAACAACUCUGUUCGAGACCAUAUGAAAUGGGCCGGGUUGCUGGGCUGCGAGGCGGUGCUGUCCAGCAUGGCCCUGAUGCAAGCCAACAACAUCCCAGGCCAGAAGAGGAUGAUGUCACCCUUGGGUCAGGGGCACAGGCCCAGUCCCGAGAGCCACCAACCCCACUCGCAGCAAAUCCACAACCAACACGGACACCAGGUCCACCACCAACAACCUCACCAAAGCCACAUGGGCCACCCCUCAGCCGGGAGCUGUCCACCGCUGGUAAGAAGGCAAUGAGUCUGGGC